CUCAUUAAAUCAGUUAUAGUUUAUUUGAUGGUCUCUUUGUUCUUCUUUUUACCUACUUGGAUAACCGUGGUAAUUCUAGAGCUAAUACAUGCGCAAGGUCCCGAGCGCGGAGAGUAGGACUUCACGGUUCUAUUCUUGCAUGCGUAGAGGGAUGUAUUUAUUAGGUUAAAAACCAGCGUAGUCAGCAAUGGCUACAAACUCCCCUGGUGAUUCAUAGUAACUCUUUCGGAUCGCAUUCAUG
rnacentral:rRNA from 1 species